ensembl:lncRNA
AGCAUAUUAAAAAGCAGAGACAUUAAUUUGCUGACAAAGGUGCAUAUAGUCAAAGCUAUGGUUUUUCCAGUAGUCAUGUACGUGUAAGAGCUGGACAAUAAAAAAGGCUGAGCACCAAAGAAUUGAUGCCUUCAAACUAUGGUGCUGGAGAAGACUCUUGAGAGUCCCUUGGACUGCAAGGAGAUCCAAUCAGUCAAUCCUAAAGGAAAUCAACCCUGAGUAUUCAUUAAUUGAAAGGGCUGAUGCUGAAGCUGAAGCUCCAAUACUUUGGCCACCUGAUGCAAAGAUCUGACUGAUUGGAAAAGACCCUGAUGCUGGGAAAGACUAAGGGCAAGAAGAAGCCAAGGCGACUCCAGACUCCAUGAUCCUCAGAGCUCACCCGCCUACAGGAGGGGUCAUAUGGUCUUCUGAAGGUCAGGAGACCUUCCCAGGAAGGAAUGCCAUCUGUCCUCCCUACCCAGGCUGGCCAUGAAGGUUGACAAAGACUGAAUUUUCAUGUCCUGGAGGAAAGGGACCCCACUUGGAAAACUGUUUCUAUUAAUGGAUCCUGGGCUAUUCUUUUUGACUGGAGAGAGUGAAAUGAAGGAAAAUAUGGGACAGAGUUGAUGGAAAUUUGGGGGUAAGAAUAAAACAGGGUGGAGGAGCGAAGAAGAUGAGACCUGGAAGCCAGGGGCCCAGAGCCCUCAACAGAGGAAGGUUUCCAGUUUGGAGAUCCCUGCAAAGCGCAUCUCUAAGGACUGAUUCUCCCCGGUGCCAUCCAUCACAGCCCUCCUAUGAGAACAUACUCCCCAAGGGCUGAGCACCCACAGGGACUUCCCACGCAGUGAGCGCAAGCUUGAUCCCUACUCUUCCCUCAUCUACUCUGUGGGCCCCUUCUGGCACCCCUAAGACUCCUGUAAAUAGAGGAGCCCUGUACCCCAACUCCAGAGGUGAAUAAGUAGCCCAGGGUACUCCCUGCCAGGUUCCAAGUCACCAUCACUGUCAGCCCCCCACCUCUCCACCCC